GAAAAAAAAUCGGAACUGUUCUUCGAAGAUUUAUUAAAGAACCUUAAAAGCUUGAAUGGAAAACAGUACAGGAAUGACUGGAAACGGACUUCCAACAAGAUGAAGUAAUCAGAAAGAUCAACAGGCCAUAAAGAAGACAACACUGAGUAAGGCAAAGACGAGGUAUUUUUAACUGGGAAGUUUACAAUAUAAUAUUACAAUAUAAGAUAUAGUAUGGCAAGCUACACGAGUCGAAGAUGCAUAUCUCUUAAUAAUGUGCCUGACAUGUCCAAUAGAAAGCGGUACCUGCAGAAUUUACUGCAUAAAUUGACAGAUAUACCUCUUGAGAAACGGGAAAGCAUACUGUCUUUAUCGGCUAUUUAACAGCGCCGUCUAGACUUGAAAGUUAUAUCUUAAAACCUAAUACAGAGCGUAUUUUUGAUGCGCGUUUCCCGAACCGAUUCAAAAGCGCGUUCAAAGCGCAUCUGUAUCGCGUUUUAAUCGAUUCCAACCCACGCAAAUAUGUACUUCGAAGAGAAAAAACGACGGCGGAAAGACGCGCGUUUACGCGCAGUCGUUUGUAUCGCCGUAUAACACAUACACGCACAGCAUAUUUAUGCGCGCGCAAGUUUACGGCGCCAUUGAAUCUCGUUUGAAUUGCAUCGUAAUUUAGCGUAAUGCAUAAAAUGUUUUAAAUAAGUAAAGAAAAUUAACAGUAUAGUCUGAUCGAGGAACAUAUUGUCUGAUAGAAUGCCUUGAAGAGGGGAAGGAAUGCUUGUACUCCGCUAGACAAUACAUUGGUACACAAUUAAAAUGAAAAACCGCCAGCAGAAAUGCCGGUGGAGGGUUAGAGCACGCCAUCUAAAGCCAAGAAUAUCACAAACAAAUUACCUCUUGUCGAUUCACAAAUAAUUGAAACGAAGAUUGGUUUUCCAUUGUAGUUCCAAUCCUAAAUAGUUUGAUUUUCAUAAGCCGCAAUGGCAGCGCUGUCGAAACUUUUAGAUUAAAAAGUAAUGUAUUAUGAAUAAAGGCCGCUUUCAUUUCCCAAAUUCUAAGCUAUUCAAAUUAUUCUAUUUAUUGUAAGUAGUAUUUUUCUGACGCGCUCAAAUAUGGAAUUUUUAGCUGUAUUUUAUACUGAUUUUUUGCGAGCUUUGUCGGUCAAUUUUAUUCUCUGAUUGAAUGAAACUUGUGAAUAAUAAUAUUUAGUAGCAGAAGAGUUCCUUGUGAAAAAAUCGUCCAUAGAAGUACGACGACUAAGUAACGUAAAUAGCCAC